UCAGAAUCCAUUCUAGAAA
rnacentral:misc_RNA from 1 species